rnacentral:tRNA from 1 species
GGUGGGGUGGCUGAGUGGCCGAAAGCACUGGUCUUGAAAACCAGCGAGGGUAAUACCUCCGAGAGUUCGAAUCUCUCCCCCACCG